rnacentral:rRNA from 1 species
AUGGAAAGACGGUUUAYGCUGUCACUUAUAGAUGGGCCCGCGGCGCAUUAGCUAGUUGGUGAGGUAAUGGCUCACCAAGGCGACGAUGCGUAGCCSACCUGAGAGGGUGRKCGGCCACACUGGGACUGARACMCGGCCCARACUCCYACGGGRGGCAGCAGKAGGGAAUCUUCCGCAAUGGACGAAAGUCUGACGGAGCAACSCCSCGKGAACGAAGAAGGCCUUCGGGUCGUAAAGUUYUGUUGUUAGGGAAGAACAAGUACYAGAKURACUGCKGGUACCUUGACGGUACCUAACCAGAAAGCCACGGCUAACUACGUGCCAGCAGCCGCGGUAAUACGKAGGUGGCAAGCGUUGUCCGGAAUUAUUGGGCGUAAAGCGCGCGCAGGUGGUUCCUUAAGUCUGAUGUGAAAGCCCACGGCUCAACCGUGGAGGGUCAUUGGAAACUGGGGAACUUGAGUGCAGAAGAGGAAAGUGGAAUUCCAAGUGUAGCGGWGAAAUGCGUAGAGAUUUGGAGGAACACCAGUGGCGAAGGCGACUUUCUGGUCUGUAACUGAYACUGAGGCGCGAAAGCGUGGGGAGCAAACAGGAUUAGAYACYSUGGUAGUCCACGCCGUAAACGAUGAGUGCUAAGUGUUAGAGGGUUUCCG